GGGCGGAUAGCUCAGUUGGUUAGAGCACACGGUUGACAUCCGUGAGGUCGCAGGUUCGAGCCCUGUUUCGCCCACAA
rnacentral:tRNA from 1 species